rnacentral:lncRNA from 1 species
AGCAUAAGAAAAACCACGCACCUGAGAUGAAGAGAGAAAAAGGAGAGGACGGAGACAAUGACGUUAUGAGAAAAUACAAUGCAAUGCCGGAAGAGAUAAAAAGUAGAGGUGCGCAAGGGAGUAAAAGAAGAGGAGAAGCAGGGAAAAAGGAGAAGAGAUGAAGACGCGAUCAGAAACUGAGUGGUUAGAAGGGUCUGCGAUUUAUUUAAAAUGAAAUUGGGCGUCGGUUGCGCCAGAAAUCGACGUCUAUAGACGUCAGUGUUUGAUCGGGAUCCGACGUCUAUUCUUCUUAAAGAAGCUGAAAAGAUUGACGCUUGAUUUCCUGUCAGGGUAGUUCACGUCGGUGCCCCUCCUAGCCGACGUCUAAAACCCUCGAAUUUGGUGAAAAUAAUUAAUUACAGGAAC